CAAGGACUUCGAGAUGGAGCCUGGAGGAGCCGGGGAUUGACUGAUUUUCUGAUUAGUGGGCAACCCGCUCUAUCACCGGAGCCAUAGCCGCUCCCAACAAAUGUGCCACAUGAAAGGACCAAGAAGCUGUCCUCGGACCCUGGGAACAGUGGGAAGUAUGGACGUAUGGAUGCCUGUCCCUGUGGUUAACCUUCCACCCACAUGUUAGGAGGAGGCUACAGGGAGAGGUCUGUUGCUUUGCCUGGCUCUAAGUGGAGGUGACAGCAUUCAAACAUGGUGACCUUGCGUAGGGGACCCGUGACGGGCCUCCCUGUGACUGAAGGAACAUUUCUGGAGGCACCCUGCAAGGCUUUUUGGUUUGGGAGAGACAUCAAGGGAACCUGCAUGGUGGCAAUAAGAGAGGUGUUUUUAUUUUUAUUUUUUUCACGAUGCCAACAGCAUCACUUCAACAAACUCCCUUUGAUAGACAUAGGUGAAAACUGGCUUGUAAAGGAAGUGAAUAUUGAUAUGAUGAAAAAUAUUUCAUCCUGAAAGUGUACAGUGUAUUGAUUUUGGAAAGUUGUACUGCAUAAAAGUAACAUAAGGUGUAUUAAAAGAAAUAUGAAAGCGUG